UACGUAGGGUGCAAGCGUUAAUCGGAAUUACUGGGCGUAAAGCGUGCGCAGGCGGUUGGGCAAGACAGAUGUGGAAAUCCCCGGGCUUAACCUGGGAAUGGCAUUUGUGACUGUCCGGCUAGAGUGUGUCAGAGGGGGUAGAAUUCCACGUGUAGCAGUGAAAUGCGUAGAGAUGUGGAGGAAUACCGAUGGCGAAGGCAGCCUGCCCUACGGGAGUAACACUCGACCGCU
rnacentral:rRNA from 1 species